rnacentral:sRNA from 1 species
UCCCUCUCCCUAAUUCUCUCUCUCCUGCCCAUGGCCCUCUCUUUUCACUUCCAAUCUUUCUUUUAGCAGACACUCGGCUCUUUUGGAGGUGCCCAAACCCCAGGUUACUCUACAGCUCUAAGAGAAGGUUAUCCAGACCAGCUCAGCUUUCCAGUAAGACUUAACCUAAUUCCCCAGACAGAAAAGGGCUUAGUAAGAACAUGAUGAGAACUAAAACAAAGACCAUCGGGAAUAUUUUGUUGUUAUUCAGUAAACAAGAUGCCAAGGCAUUUUAAGACAAACGCCAGCUGCCCCGCAUUGCUGGGAAUGUCGCGGAGAACACACGGAUGUGAGGCCACUUUGCGCCAUGCUAUCUGUAGACUGAGUUUAUGAGUGGCUGUGUGUUUAUGUCAGGAUUGGGAAUAUAACCAACUCCUGAUUACCAGGGCUAAUGGAUAGUCAUAAAUAUUCCAAGCAGCCGAGAAAUCGAAGAAUUAUUCUUGCAGACACAUUUUUAAGGCUAAAGAGGACAGUGUGUGAAAGAAAUGGCUGAGGCAGUUGGAGAGUUCGGAUCUGGUUCUGUUGCCCGCACAGUGUGAGAAUGCACAGUGUGAGAACGUGCAAGGGCCACGCAAUUUGAGGUGCAGCAGCCAGAGACCCAGAUAAAGUAUCCAAGAAGGAAGUGUCAUGACUCAAGAAGGAAGAAGUUAAGGGCUGGAUGGAUCUCAGGCCAGGCCAGAAACCUCUCAGAUGGGGAUGGAUGUGGUCAGGAGGAAAGAGAACAGGAAAAGGGCAAUAAGGAUACCGUCAAUGAGGCUGGGACAGAUCCAAGAGAGUCAGCAGGCUGGAGCUGAAGCUUCUCCAGAUGGAAUCAUAUCCAAGGAGUUGCCUUGGGAAGACACCUGCAGCAAAAGCCUCUUCUUAUAAUGGAAUUCUUCCACCUAUAUGAUAAAAUACUGGCUUCUGCCGCCACUUAUAAAACUUGGAUAUUGUUACAUGGUAGCUAUGAAAUGUCACAAUGAUACUUAGUGGACCCAGCUCCUGAGUGCUUCACCUCAAGGGAUUUCUAACUAAAUCUUCAUUAUGUCACCUGAUCCUGGUAACAACAAACAUUAGAGGCCCCAACAGUCUCGGUUUAAGGAAGGUGUGCUUCCUGGACUCCAAGCAAACGGGCUUAUUCAUUGUUACUGGGGUAUACCUGUGACUUCAGGAAACAUUGUGAACAAAGCCCAGAAAAGAUGUCAAGACAUGCUCUAGACUAGACUAUCGGUUAAGUAGCUUAUCUGAGGGGCACGAGAGGGUCCAUUUCUCCAGGCGAGUGAUGGGUGAGUUGCAAGCUUCAAUCAUCUGUACAUGUGUUUUGCCUCUAAGAAGCUCCUUAGAUCUAGUAGGGCUUCUGUUCUCCUCAGGUUUUCUUGCCCAUAAACCGUAACUUAAAGCACACUUGAAGACUAUUUCUUGAUGAGUGGGAGAUCCAGCCAAGUGGUAGAGUACUAGCUAAGCAUGUGUAAGGUCCUGGGUUUGAACACCAGUACCAGGAAAAAAUGUUUUUAAAAUUAAGUAAGUAAUAAAUACAUAUUCUGGGCCGGCACAACCUUUUCUGGUUUGCAUUUUUAAGUUCCAUCUUCCAUAUUUUCCUUCUUUCCAUCCUUCCGUUGUCCUAGCUUCUCAUAUUUGUUUAAUCUUCCAAUUUAUUUCCAAACCUUCUACAUUCCAGUCGACAAAACAAACUAGUCUUUUAGUCACAAAUGGCACAGAGAAGGCAAAGUUUGAGGCAACGACCAAAUGCUGUGCUCUGGGAUGGGACACAAAGUGUGAUUGCAGUGACAUUCCGAACCCUAUGAUGGGAGUCACAACGGGAACCUUCAAGGUGUACAUUCCAAUUUCCAGACCCCAGGUAUGUAUUAUCUAAUCCUUGAAGAAGAAAACUAUAAGAGUGUUUCAGUUAAAGACCUUGAGAUGGGAGCACUAUCAGGGAUUGCUUAUGAGAUGGGAGCACUAUCUGCUUAGGUGAUCCCAAUGUAACCACAAGUGCCAUGCCCAGGCACAGCUCCAGAGCCUUGGACCUGAUUGGGGUGCUUUGGGAAGGAAGAAAAGACAGCCAUAUGGGCAGAAAGCAGGGACGGGUGGUCUGGGCUCUCUGCUGUAGAAACCACAGCACCCCAG